rnacentral:rRNA from 1 species
AUGGCGAUGACUUGCAAAGGCUGGUCCGCAGGAGGAAGCCACUGCCCCCAUACAGCACUGGAUACGUGGAGAUUCAACAGGAUAAGGCAAAAGGACAGCUUACUCUCUGAACCUUUGGUACAAGGAAUGUGCACCGACCUUCAGAAAGCUUGCGAGAGGAACUACCCUCGUGUGAGUGACUCUGAUGCUGAUGCUGAUGCUGCAAACAUUGGUGACGGGGAUGCACCUCCAAGAACUGCAGAUACACAUGAGCCUGAGCCUCACGUGACCCCAAUGUCUUCACAGGAGCCUGAGCCUCACGUCACCCCAAUGUCUCCACCAAACGGAGAAGCGACGCCAUUUGAUCAUUCGGCAGUUGAGAACCCUCGGUUCUCCUCCCCGCAAAUGGAUCUAUUUACAGUAAGAGAAGAAGAUGACAGUCCUUUCAUCAAAACCCCACGGUCUGGACUUGGAGGAACUAGUGCUACCGCUACUGGCAGCUAUGCAACACCUGGACAAAACACCCGUGAAUCUGAUCCUAACGGGUCUCAGUUCCCUUUCGGCGACGACUACCUCGAUGAAGACAUGCCAGAGAUUCCAGGCCUCAUGAACACCCCUAGCGUGGCAUCUAGUGCGGAUACCGGUGCCACAGGACUGAGCAGCAUGUCUAGUAGGACAAGGGCUGCCGCCAAGUUCUACAAAGGCAUGAUGUCCUCAGCCACAUCAGAGGACCAGCAGCGAGGGAAAUUCAGUUUGAGCAUAAUCUUGGACGGGAGGACAAGGAAGCAAGCUGCGAGCAUGUUCUUCGAGACGUUGGCCCUGAAGAGUUACGAUUAUAUUGACGUGUGUCAGGAAGAGGCGUAUGGUGACAUUUCAGUUUCAGUUAGACCCUCGCUCUCGAGCGCCAAACUUUGA